rnacentral:tRNA from 1 species
GUCAGGAUGGCCGAGUGGUCUAAGGCGCCAGACUCAAGAGCCUAGGUUCUUCGCCGACAUGAGGUGUUGAGUAUUCUGGUCUCCGAAUGGAGGCGUGGGUUCGAAUCCCACUUCUGACA